rnacentral:rRNA from 1 species
GAUGAACGCUGGCGGCGUGCCUAAUACAUGCAAGUCGAGCGAACAGACGAGGAGCUUGCUCCUCUGAUGUUAACGGCGGACGGGUGAGUAACACGUGGAUAACCUACCUAUGAGACUGGGAUAACUUCGGGAAACCGGAGCUAAUACCGGAUAAUAUAUUGAACCGCAUGGUUCAAUAGUGAAAGACGGUUUUGCUGUCACUUAUAGAUGGAUCCGCGCCGCAUUAGCUAGUUGGUAAGGUAACGGCUUACCAAGGCAACGAUGCGUAGCCGACCUGAGAGGGUGAUCGGCCACACUGGAACUGAGACACGGUCCAGACUCCUACGGGAGGCAGCAGUAGGGAAUCUUCCGCAAUGGGCGAAAGCUUGACGGAGCAACGCCGCGUGAGUGAUGAAGGUCUUCGGAUCGUAAAACUCUGUUAUUAGGGAAGACCAAAUGUGUAAGUAACUAUGCACGUCUUGACGGUACCUAAUCAGAAAGCCACGGCUAACUACGUG